rnacentral:rRNA from 1 species
UCCGUAGGUGAACCUGCGGAAGGAUCAUUACCGAGUACCGGGCGCAAGCCCGUACCCACACACCAUGUUUACAUUCUUCGUUGCUUCGGCGGGCCGUCGGGUGCCCCGCCCCCGGCGUUCGCGUUGGGGUGCGCCCGCCGAGGGACCAGUCCAAACGCUUUGCAAACCGGCCGUCCGAGUCUAUAUGAAUCAGUCAAAACUUUCAACAACGGAUCUCUUGGUUCGAGCAUCGAUGAAGAACGCAGCUAGCCGCGAAAUGCAGCGUGAAUUGCAGAAUUUAGUGAAUCAUCGGAUUUUUGAACGCAUAUUGCGCCCGUUGGUAUUCCGACGGGCACGCCUGUCCGAGCGUCAUUGCAACAAUCAAGCCCCGCUUGGUGUUGGGAGCCGUCGCGCGCGACCCUCCCGGAACCCGUUGGCGGUGGCCUCUGCCCCGAUCGUCGCACAUGUUACGAGAGGAGCGGGGGGCGCCCGCCCGUCACCACACGCUCAGUUUGACCUCGGAUCAGGUGGGGAUACCCGCUGAACUUAAGCAUAUCAAUAAGCGG